ACGCACGCUGGCGGCAUGCCUAACACAUGCCAGUCGAACGAGACCUUCGGGUCUAGUGGCGCACGGGUGCGUAACGCGUGGGAACCUGCCCUUAGGUUCGGAAUAACUCCCCGAAAGGGGUGCUAAUACCGGAUAAUGUCUUCGGACCAAAGAUUUAUCGCCUUUGGAUGGGCCCGCGUUGGAUUAGCUAGUUGGUAGGGUAAAAGCCUACCAAGGCGACGAUCCAUAGCUGGUCUGAGAGGAUGAUCAGCCACACUGGGACUGAGACACGGCCCAGACUCCUACGGGGGGCAGAAGUGGGGAAUAUUGGACAAUGGGCGAAAGCCUGAUCCAGCAAUGCCGGGGGAGUGAUGAAGGCCUUGGGGUUGUAAAGCUCUUUUACCCGGGAUGAUAAUGACAGUACCGGGAGAAUAAGCCCCGGCUAACUCCGU
rnacentral:rRNA from 1 species